rnacentral:rRNA from 1 species
CGUCAGCUCGUGUCGUGAGAUGUUGGGUUAAGUCCCGCAACGAGCGCAACCCCUACGUUAGUUGCUAACGCGUGAAGGCGAGCACUCUAGACGAACUGCCGUUGACAAAACGGAGGAAGUGGGAUGACGUCAAAUCAUCAUGCCCCUUAUGUUCUGGGCUACACACGUGCUACAAUGGCCGGUACAGACGGACGCAAAGCCGCGAGGUGGAGCAAAUCCUAAAAAAGCCGGUCUCAGUUCGGAUUGCAGGCUGCAAUUCGCCUGCAUGAAGUCGGAAUCGCUAGUAAUCGCAGGUCAGCAUACUGCGGUGAAUACGUUCCCGGGCCUU